rnacentral:rRNA from 1 species
UGCAAGUCGAGGGGCAGCGCGGGAUAGCAAUAUCCUGGCGGCGACCGGCGGAAGGGUGCGUAACGCGUGAGCGACAUGCCCGUUGCCCGGGGACAACCGGUGGAAACGCCGACUAAUCCCCGAUGGGAUAUUGUGCCGCAUGGCACGAUAUUGAAAGUUACGGCGGCGACGGAUUGGCUCGCGUCCGAUUAGCUUGUUGGCGGGGUAACGGCCCACCAAGGCUACGAUCGGUAGGGGUUCUGAGAGGAAGGCCCCCCACAAUGGGACUGAGACACGGCCCAUACUCCUACGGGAGGCAGCAGUGAGGAAUAUUGGUCAAUGGGCGGAAGCCUGAACCAGCCAUGCCGCGUGCGGGAAGGAGGCCCUAUGGGCUGUGAACCGCUUUUGCCUGGGGGUAAUAAGGGCGUCGCGCACGCCCGAUGAGAGUACCAGGCGAAUAAGCAUCGGCUAACUCCGUGCCAGCAGCCGCGGUAAUACGGGGGAUGCGAGCGUUAUCCGGAUUCAUUGGGUUUAAAGGGUGCGUAGGCUGUGCGUCAAGUCGGGGGUGAAAUUCCGGUGCUCAACACCGGGGCUGCCCUUGAUACUGUCGCGCUGGAGUGCGGAUGCCGCCGGAGGAAUGAGUGGUGUAGCGGUGAAAUGCUUAGAUAUCACUCAGAACACCGAUUGCGAAGGCAUCUGGCGAAUCCGUAACUGACGCUGA